GACGAACGCUGGCGGCGUGCCUAAUACAUGCAAGUAGAACGCUGAAGGAGGAGCUUGCUCUUCUGGAUGAGUUGCGAACGGGUGAGUAACGCGUAGGUAACCUGCCUGGUAGCGGGGGAUAACUAUUGGAAACGAUAGCUAAUACCGCAUAACAGUAGAUGUUGCAUGACAUUUACUUAAAAGGUGCAAUUGCAUCACUACCAGAUGGACCUGCGUUGUAUUAGCUAGUUGGUGGGGUAACGGCUCACCAAGGCGACGAUACAUAGCCGACCUGAGAGGGUGAUCGGCCACACUGGGACUGAGACACGGCCCAGACUCCUACGGGAGGCAGCAGUAGGGAAUCUUCGGCAAUGGACGGAAGUCUGACCGAGCAACGCCGCGUGAGUGAAGAAGGGUGUCGGAUCGUAAAGCUCUGUUGUAAGAGAAGAACGAGUGUGAGAGUGGAAAGUUCACACUGUGACGGUAUCUUACCAGAAAGGGACGGCUAACUACGUG
rnacentral:rRNA from 1 species